rnacentral:lncRNA from 1 species
AUUUUCAGAGGUAGGUCUCUCCAUCCAUGACUAGAUUUUGAUGCAAUAACAUUUGUAAAUGGCUGUAACCCAUCUGUUUAUCAUUCCCUAUCUAUGAGUAUUUGUAGUCGCUUUCCUUACUUAUACCGUAUAAAUAUAUCUGACUCCCAUGACGAAAGCGACCCAUCAUCUUCCGAAAAUUAUGCGACACCCCUCUUUAAUUAGUUCCCUUAAUUUGGAGGCAUAAUUCUUCUUCUUCUUAUAUUCUUUUUCUAUGCUCAUGAUCUUGGACCUCACUACAUUCAAAACAAACUACUCCCCCAUAUAUAUAUAUAUAUAUAUAUAUAUAUAUAUAUAUAUGCAGCAACAGCACUGGAGACCAGGGUUUCAAUCCAUGGGCAAAAUUUUACAAGUUAAGUUUCAUUAUUGCGCAACUGUUUCUUUAUAAUAGCAAUUUAUUUAUGCUAUUGUGGCGUGAUUAGUGUGUAACUUGUUAGUUGUGUUUUCAAUGACCUAGGAGGUUGAAAUUUAAAUCUAGGUUUUCUUAAAAAUUAAGUUACUCUCAUCUUAUAGAACUAGCUAGCAAGCUAGGGUUCUACUGGAAUUGAACUUGUAAUUUGUUGUUCAGUUUUAGGGUUUCAAACUAAUUAAAUCUUGUUUGUUUUUAAUCUCUAAUUUGACUCUAUAUAUUGGUUGAGCAUCAAUUGUAGGCGCUGGUAAUUGUAAUAAAUCUUGAUUAUGGGAAGCAAAAAGCUAAGGGGGUGUUUGAUAAAAACUGAAUAAAUCUAAAUCUGAAUGAGCUGAACCUGAAUCUGAAUGAAUGAGUUGAAUUUGAAUCCAAAAAAACUGUUUGAUAAUUGACAUGUAAACUUUAUUAUUUUACCCCCUCUAAAAAAAAUCAAAUUUAUUGUAAAUUUAUUUAAUAUUACUUAAUAUAAUAGUUAAUAUUUUUUUAAAAUUUUUUUUACUUCAUUCUGCUGCUCAUUUAGCUAUUCAGCUCAAAAAAUCUGACUUAGCCAUUCAACUAGUCUAUCUUACCGAUUCAGUUAUUCAAACCAAAACAAACGCACUGACCGAUUCAUGUGGCUCAAUAAUAUUAUCCGAAAAACUUUACUACUAAAAUCCUUUAUUUCUUUCUUCCUAUUCUUUUUGUGACUUUGCCCAUGUAUUGUAAGAUCGACUAACCCUCAGGAGAAAUUAAAUUAUUAGACUUAAACCUUUUAUUGUCCGACUUGUUUCUUGAUUUCAAGAAAUUAAAUUAAAAAUUGAUGACUUUUAAUAUUUGAUCAUCAAAAAUGGUGACGAAGUAGCAUUUAUAAGCCAGUAAUCAACAAGCAAAAAGGUGUUUGUAUUCAACAUUUGAGCUACUUUACUGUUCCAAUAUACUGCUGUACUCACAGUAUUUGGUGCCCCUGAAAUUAAUCAGGACUCUAUAACAUAUGCCUCAUUUUCAAUAUCUACUACCAUCUUUCCAUUUUUACUUAUAUUUUGGGUUCUUUUUUUUAUUAGUCUAUUGGGUUUUGUUACGAGAAAGGAGAAGGUAAGGUUCAGAAGAGAAGUACUCAUAUAUGUUACGUUCUAGUUAAAAGACAUUCUGGUUUCUUUGAUUGAUUUAAUUACAGAAUGAUCCAUUAAUCAAACUGGUGUAAAUCAAUGAAAUAAUUGUUUGUAUAUCAUUUUUCUUUUAGUGACGCACUUCAUUAUCAACGGGAAAUAAAAACAAUGUAUUCUUUUUCUGUUUCUAGGUAGCACCAGCAUGCUAAAAAACCAAUUAUUGAAAUGAAUCAUUUCCCACUAACUCUAUAUAACUUGAUUACUUUAAAUCUUCCUUCCUAUGUUUAUGUAUUUAUUACACAGGAGUGAAGUGAUCAAUUUGAACAAUAUGCAAAUAAUAUAUUAGUGUUUAAUUAAAGUGAGAAACAGUCUGAGAGAGCUUCCUUCAGCCCACUCAUGGAUGCGAUAAAGGGGCUGAAUUAGCUGCCGACUCAUUCACUUAACCACCCAGUAGAAAUGGAAAAGUGUUGUGCUACUGUGACUGAGUGAAUGAAGCGGGAGAUAGUUUUCCAUCCCUCUCCCUCUGUGCUUGGACUGAAGGGAGCUCCCUUUUUCUGUCCCACACCUUCAUUUUCAUCUCCUGUUUGUCUUUCUACUCAAUUUUAAAUGCUAUAUAUAUACUAAUCCUCUUUGAGUGACUGCCUUUUAAUUAUCGUAAAAUACCUGCCUCUCACCUAUCAACAUGUAUAAAUUGGCAGACAUGACAUGCUGAAAAAUGUGUUGAUAUAAUUUUGCAGCGGAAUCAGCUUCUGCUCAUCUUUCCAUCAAGAGGCAAGAAGGUUAAUGAGUAUUUCCUCGGUAGAUUCAUUCCUUUCCCCUCCUUGCUCUUAUUAGCCUAUUUUAUGCAAUUCAUUUUCAAAUUUUUAGUACAUCUACUUCUUAUGGCAGGACUUGGCAUGAAAACAUUUAAUCAAUCAUAACUCAUCUGUACAAUAAAUUCUGCAUUGAAGCCAUGACAAGUUUAUAUUGAAUUGAAUGAGAAUUUUUUUUCUAUGAAUGCGACAGAUGUUCAAGUUUGAAUUCAUAAACUACUUGUUAUGGCUUCUAUUUUUUUGGGGGUCAAAUUUUCAAUUACAAUUCUGCUGUUAUAUUCAAUUUUUGGCAAGUUUUUAAUCAAAGGUCUAGCUCAUCAUAAAAGGGAAAACAAAUUAAGGCUGUUAAUUCUCAGGGACACCCUGUGAGAGUCAUAACUCGACAAUUCUCAGUACAAUUAUGGUAUUGUGAGGUUAGCACAUUGUGAACCAUGUGAUGUACAAAACAUCACAAUUAUUGAAUACUUGAGCCAUUUUUUUAAAUAAGAUCUCUGUUUGAAAAUAGAUACUUUGGUGACUAAUUUUUGAAGAAAGUGUAUCCAGUUCAAUUUUAUUAUUAUUUAGGGUAUGUUAUGUGUUCAUAAUUAGGGGAAAAGCACAGUUUCUCGAAAAUAUAAAUCCUUCAUGUGCUUCUGUACAGUUGGACCAUUAUAUUGCUAUAAUAUAUUAAGAUUAACUUGGAUCGGAGAUUUUCUCUCUAUUUUAUUGUUUUGUUUAUGAGGUUAAAUUAGUGGUGGAUGGUUUAGUGGAGGAUGUGAAU